GAUGAACGCUGGCGGCGUGCCUAAUACAUGCAAGUCGAGCGAACAGAUGAGGAGCUUGCUCCUCUGACGUUAGCGGCGGACGGGUGAGUAACACGUGGAUAACCUACCUAUAAGACUGGGAUAACUUCGGGAAACCGGAGCUAAUACCGGAUAAUAUAUUGAACCGCAUGGUUCAAUAGUGAAAGACGGUUUUGCUGUCACUUAUAGAUGGAUCCGCGCCGCAUUAGCUAGUUGGUAAGGUAACGGCUUACCAAGGCAACGAUGCGUAGCCGACCUGAGAGGGUGAUCGGCCACACUGGAACUGAGACACGGUCCAGACUCCUACGGGAGGCAGCAGUAGGGAAUCUUCCGCAAAGGGCGAAAGCCUGACGGAGCAACGCCGCGUGAGUGAUGAAGGUCUACGGAUCGUAAAACUCUGUUAUUAGGGAAGAACAAAUGUGUAAGUAACUAUGCACGUCUUGACGGUACCUAAUCAGAAAGCCACGGCUAACUACGUG
rnacentral:rRNA from 1 species